rnacentral:rRNA from 1 species
UACGUAGGGUGCAAGCGUUAAUCGGAAUUACUGGGCGUAAAGCGCACGCAGGCGGUCUGUCAAGUCGGAUGUGAAAUCCCCGGGCUCAACCUGGGAACUGCAUUCGAAACUGGCAGGCUAGAGUCUUGUAGAGGGGGGUAGAAUUCCAGGUGUAGCGGUGAAAUGCGUGGAGAUCUGGAGGAAUACCGGUGGCGAAGGCGGCCCCCUGGACAAAGACUGACGCUCAGGUGCGAAAGCGUGGGGAGCAAACAGG